rnacentral:rRNA from 1 species
GACGAACGCUGGCGGCGUGCUUAACACAUGCAAGUCGAACGGAAAGGCCCUGCUUUUGUGGGGUGCUCGAGUGGCGAACGGGUGAGUAACACGUGAGUAACCUGCCCUUGACUUUGGGAUAACUUCAGGAAACUGGGGCUAAUACCGGAUAGGAGCUCCUGCUGCAUGGUGGGGGUUGGAAAGUUUCGGCGGUUGGGGAUGGACUCGCGGCUUAUCAGCUUGUUGGUGGGGUAGUGGCUUACCAAGGCUUUGACGGGUAGCCGGCCUGAGAGGGUGACCGGCGACAUUGGGACUGCGAGACGGCGCAGACGCCUACGUGAGGCAGCAGUGGGGAAUAUUGCACAAUGGGCGGAAGCCUGAGGCAGCAACGCCGCGUGCGGGAUGACGGCCUUUGGGUUGUAAACCGCUUUCGACUGUGACGAAGCGUGCGUGACGGUAAUGGGUAAAGAAGCACCGGCUAACUACGUG